ensembl:lncRNA
GGGAAAACGGGGAAAAACGGGGGGAAAAACGGGGGAAAUGGGAAAAACGGGGGGAAAACGGGGGGAAAAAAGGGAAAAAACCGGGGGGAAAAAUGGGGGAAAUGGGAAAAAAUCAGGGGGAAACGGGGAAAAAUGGGAAAAAAAUGGGGAGAAAAUGGGGAAAAAAUGGGAGAAAACAGGGAAAAACAGGGAGAAAACGGGGGAAAAUGGGAAAAAAUGGGGGGAAAAUGGGGGAAAACGGGGGGAAAUGGGGAGAAAACGGGAAACAAUGGGGAGAAAAUAGGGGAAAAUGGGAAAAAAUGGGGGGAAAACGGGAAAAAAUGGGGGAAAAUGGGAAAAAAUGGGGGGAAAACGGGGAGAAAUGGGGAAAAUUGAGGGGAAAUGGGGAAAAUUGAGGGGAAAUGGGGGAAAACGGGAAAAACGGGGGGAAAUGGGAAAAAAUGGGGAAAAAAAUGGGGGUAAAUGGGGAGAAAAUGGGGGAAAAGGGGGAGAAAACAGGGGAAAACGGGAAAAAUGGGGAGAAAAAUGGGGGAAAAUGAGAAAAAAUGGGAAAAAAUGGGGGGAAAAUGGGGAGAAAAUGGGGGAAAACGGGGAAAAAACGGGGAGAAAAUGGGAAAAAAUUUGGGGAAACGGGAAAAAAUGGGGAGAAAUGGGAAAAAAUUGGGGAAAAACGGGGAGAAAAUGGGGGAAAACGGGAAAAAAUGGGAAAAAAUUGGGGAAAAACGGGGAGAAAAUGGGGGAAAACGGGAAAAAAUGGGAAAAAAUUGGGGAAAAACGGGGAGAAAAUGGGGGAAAACGGGAAAAAAUGGGGGAAAUUGGGGGAAAAUGGGAAAAACGGGAAAAAACCUGGAAAAAAUGGGGGGAAAUGGGAAAAAAGGCCCGGAUUCCCCAAAUUCCCCGGUUUUGUCCCCGUUUUUCCAUGGAAUUCCUCAUGGAAUUGCCUUUUUCCAGAGGAUCCCGAGGAUUCCUGGAGCCUCCUGGUGAGCAGCGCCCUGGAGGCGGCCGUGGUUUAUCGGCGGAUCCUCUCCCGGGGGCUUUCGGAUCCUCUGGAGCUCCCCGGGAGCCGCGGCUCCGACGCCGUCGUUUGCGCCAAAGUCACCGACGUCGAUUUCGACGGCGCCGCCGAAAUCCUGCUGGGCACCUACGGCCAGGUGAGAGCCCGGGAAUUCCCAAUUCCAGAGGAUUUCCCACUCCCAUGGGGCUUUCCCAAAAUUUCCCUGGAUUUUCCCUGAAUUUCCCCAAAUUUUCCCCAAAUUUUCCCCCAAUUUUCCCAAUUUUCCCUGAAUUUCCCCCAAUUUUCCCUGAAUUUCCCCAAUUUUCCCUGAAUUUCCCCAAAUUUUCCCUGAAAUUCUCCCAAUUUUUCCCCAAUUUUCCCCCAAUUUUCCCAAUUUUCCCCAAAUUUUCCCUGAAUUUCCCCAAAUUUUCCCUGAAUUUUCCUAUUUUUUCCCCAAAUUUUCCCCCAAUUUUCCCAAUUUUCCCUGAAUUUUCCCCAAUUUUCCCCCAAAUUUUUCCCCAAUUUUCCCCCAAUUCUCCCCAAUUUUUCCCCAAUUUUCCCCCAAUUUUCCCCCAAUUUUUCCCCAAUUUUCCCCCAAUUUUCCCCCAAUUUUCCCAAUUUUCCCCCAAUUUUCCUAAUUUUCCCCCAAUUUUCCCAAUUUUCCCUGAAUUUCCCCCAAUUUUCCCUGAAUUUCCCCAAUUUUCCAUGAAUUUUCCCCAAUUUUCCCCGAAUUUUCCCAAAUUUUCCCUGAAUUUCCCUGAAUUUCUCCCAAUUUUUCCCCAAAUUUCCCCAUUUUCCCCCAAUUUUCCCAAUUUUCCCCCAAUUUUCCCUGAAUUUUCCCCAAUUUUCCCUGAAUUUUCCCCAAUUUUUCGUGAAUUUCCCCAAAUUUUCCCUGAAUUUUCCUCGAAUUUUCCCCAAUUUUCCCUGAAUUUCCCCAAAUUUUCCCUGAAUUUCCCUGAAUUUCCCCAAAUUUUCCCCAAUUUUCCCUCCCUGGUUUUCCCCUAAAUUUUUCCUUGAUUUUUUCCCUUGUUAUUUCCGACCCAAAUCAUUCCCAAAUCCCUGGUUGUUCCCCAAUUUCCCAUCUUUUUUCCCCAAUUUCCCAUUUUUUUUCCCCAAUUUCCCAUUUUUUUCCCCAAUUUCCCAUUUUUCCCCCCAAUAUCCCAUUUUUCCCCCCAAUAUCCCAUUUUUUUUCCCCAAUUUCCCAUUAUUUUUCCCCAAUUUCCCAUUUUUUUCCCCAAUUUCCCAUUUUUCCCCCCAAUAUCCCAUUUUUCCCCCAAAUUUCCCAUUUUUUCCCCAAUUUCCCAUUUUUUACCCCCAAUUUCCCAUUUUUCCCCCAAUUUCCCAUUUUUUCCCCCCAAAUUUCCCAUUUUUUCCCCAAUUUCCCAUU